CCUACGGGUGGCUGCAGUGGGGGAUAUUGGACAAUGGGGGGAACCCUGAUCCAGCGACGCCGCGUGAGUGAAGAAGUAUUUCGGUAUGUAAAGCUCUGUCAGCAGGGAAGAAAGAAAUGACGGUACCUGACUAAGAAGCCCCGGCUAACUACGUGCCAGCAGCCGCGGUAAUACGUAGGGGGCAAGCGUUAUCCGGAAUUACUGGGUGUAAAGGGAGCGUAGACGGUUAAGUAAGUCUGGAGUGAAAGGCCGGGGCCCAACCCCGGGACUGCUCUGGAAACUAUUGAACUUGAGUGCAGGAGAGGUAAGCGGAAUUCCUAGUGUAGCGGUGAAAUGCGUAGAUAUUAGGAGGAACACCAGUGGCGAAGGCGGCUUACUGGAAUGUAACUGACGUUGAGGCUCGAAAGCGUUGGGAGCAAACAGGAUUAGAUACCCUUGUAGUC
rnacentral:rRNA from 1 species